UACGUAGGGGGCUAGCGUUGUCCUGAUUUAUUGGGCGUAAAGAGCGUGUAGGCGGCCAGGUAGGUCCGCUGUGAAAGUCCGAGGCUCAACCUCGGAAUGUCGGCGGAAACCCUCUGGCUAGAGUCCGGAAGAGGAGAGUGGAAUUCCCGGUGUAGCGGUGAAAUGCGCAGAUAUCGGGAAGAACACCCGUGGCGAAGGCGGCUCUCUGGAACGGUACUGACGCUGAGACGCGAAAGCGUGGGGAGCGAACAGG
rnacentral:rRNA from 1 species